UGUUAGGCCCAGCCCUUCUUAAAAGAAAAAAAAAAUAGGCCCAUAAAUAUAUUUUAUAUAAAAAGGAAAUUAUUUAAAAAAAAAAAAAAAAGAAAAAGUGGGCAUUAAAGCUCCGGUUUCGGGAAUGUCCCAAAACAUUCCCGAAACAGAGCAUUCGUCUUCCACCCCCAGAAAACAGAGCGAAAGCUCUGUUAUUUU